AUUGAACGCUGGCGGCAUGCCUUACACAUGCAAGUCGAACGGUAACAGGUUAAGCUGACGAGUGGCGAACGGGUGAGUAAUGUAUCGGAACGUGCCCAGUCGUGGGGGAUAACUGCUCGAAAGAGCAGCUAAUACCGCAUACGACCUGAGGGUGAAAGCGGGGGAUCGCAAGACCUCGCGCGAUUGGAGCGGCCGAUAUCAGAUUAGGUAGUUGGUGGGGUAAAGGCCUACCAAGCCUACGAUCUGUAGCUGGUCUGAGAGGACGACCAGCCACACUGGGACUGAGACACGGCCCAGACUCCUACGGGAGGCAGCAGUGGGGAAUUUUGGACAAUGGACGCAAGUCUGAUCCAGCCAUGCCGCGUGCGGGAAGAAGGCCUUCGGGUUGUAAACCGCUUUUGUCAGGGAAGAAAAGGUUCUGGUUAAUACCUGGGACUCAUGACGGUACCUGAAGAAUAAGCACCGGCUAACUACGUGCCAGCAGCCGCCGUAA
rnacentral:rRNA from 1 species